GCUCCCAUCGUCUAGUGGCCUAGGACACCGCCCUUUCAAGGCGGCGGCGCGGAUUCGAAUUCCGCUGGGAGCGCCA
rnacentral:tRNA from 1 species